AGGAAAAAAUGCUCUUGGGAGGCAAGAAUGCCUAACGUUACAAAUGCUCCUAGCCUUGGGUAGUCGGUGCCAUUGAACCCUCAAAAAGGUGCAUUAGACUAUUUUCUAGAAAUAUUUCUUAUGAUGGCCAACUCCAUGUUAGAAAUGGGCAGAAGCUUUUCUGCUAGCAGUUGGGUUGAAUCCUUUGUAAAACUGUCUAAGCUUUCAAUGAUCUUCUGUGUUGCAGUGUAGUAACAGGAGGAGAAAAAAAUCAAGUGAGACUCUAGGAAGAGUGGAAUAAUAGUAGAAGUCUCUUUGACUGUAGUUUGGUAUGUAUUUAAUAAUCAUUUCCCACUUAGUGAAAGAGAUCAACUGACAGGUCUCCUACUAGCUAGAGUUAAACUAUCUGUUUGAUCUCCAGAAGGUGGACAUAC